rnacentral:lncRNA from 1 species
AAUUCCUCAAAAUAUAAAUCACUUCAUUUUUUUAGGAGUAAAAUCACAAAUCAAUCUUUCAAAAACCAAUGACACUUUUGCAUACGAAACUUUUGGAAUAAAGGUGGACAUUCGAUUGAUGGCCGUGAUUGAUUAUUUUAAUGAUGCCUUUUCUUAUAAUAAAAUCCUGGCGAAAUACUAAAACCCCGUAAUAAUGAUUAUGGGGCAUGUACCAUCAUCUCGAUUUUAUUGUAAGAAGCGAUCCCAUUGAGAUAUCAUUUUUUCUCAUUCACGUACUAACAUUGUCAUCUUUUUGCAGGUUUUGCGUGGUGGUCCUUGACAUUAGGGCAGGAGUUGAUUUUUACCAUUAUCUAUACAAGAGUUUAUUGUAUUCUAUCA